rnacentral:rRNA from 1 species
UACGGAGGAUCCGAGCGUUAUCCGGAUUUAUUGGGUUUAAAGGGAGCGUAGGUGGAUUGUUAAGUCAGUUGUGAAAGUUUGCGGCUCAACCGUAAAAUUGCAGUUGAAACUGAAAGACUUGAGUGUGUUUGAGGUAGGCGGAAUGCGUGGUGUAGCGGUGAAAUGCUUAGAGAUCAUACAGAACACCGAUUGCGAAGGCAGCUUACCAAACUAUAUCUGACGUUGAGGCACGAAAGCGUGGGUAGCAAACAGG